AUUGGAAACAUACUGUGUUUAUUCUGACGAGUAAUAUUGUCUUGUUAAAUGGACUAUGUGGCGCGCAGUGCACGUGGCCCAGUGAGUUCCGGUCUAGCACGUGGCGCUCGAACAGACAUGGCGUCCUUGCGUUCUCGACCAGCACCAUGGAGGGAUGGUCUUUCACGGUGGACGGACAGACCAGGUCGACGUGGCAGUGCACGAAUGUAGACCUCUUUCAGACGGAGGGGUAUCUCAUGAUGAGAUCGUCGACGAGUUUCCGGUCGUUAGGCGAAGAUUUCUAUGCCUAUUUGUGCGUCAGACUGAAACAACUUACGGCCAUGUCGUAUCGAUUUUACGUUGAGGCCCGUAAGUUCAUGCGCAUGCGCACUUUAUUUCAGCGCCCCAAGCAAAGACAGCAAAUGAACGCUUUUUAAUAAACACGAACUCAAACUAUUCUACCAAAGCCGAGAUGUGUUAUCCCUCAUUCGGAGCAGUGGGCUCAGAAUACGGGGUUCUAAUCAAGUCCGGAAGUGAAGGUUCCGUGUCAAUAACGUGUCCAUGGACGUCACUUGGUCGCUAUGACUACACGCAUUCGACGU